UCGAUUGUUUGCUAUCGAAUAAUUACAAAUUUAAACCAGCAGCAAUGCUCAAAGUUUCCCAAAAAUUAUACUUUUCUGGAAACUGUGACCGAAAUUUUUGAAUACUUUAGAAAUUUUGGACAGUGUUAUAAGAAUAUUUUGUCUUGUUAG
ensembl:ncRNA F28B4.5 ncRNA